AGUGAACGCUGGCGGUAGGCCUAACACAUGCAAGUCGAACGGCAGCACAGUAAGAGCUUGCUCUUACGGGUGGCGAGUGGCGGACGGGUGAGGAAUACAUCGGAAUCUACUUUUUCGUGGGGGAUAACGUAGGGAAACUUACGCUAAUACCGCAUACGACCUACGGGUGAAAGCAGGGGAUCUUCGGACCUUUCGCGAUUGAAUGAGCCGAUGUCGGAUUAGCUAGUUGGCGGGGUAAUGGCCCACCCAGGCGACGAUCCGUAGCUGGUCUGAGAGGAUGAUCGGCCACACUGGAGCUGGGACGCGGACCAGACUCCUGCGGGAGGCAGCAGUGGGGAAUGUUGGGCAAUGGGCGCGAGCCUGAUCCAGCCAUACCGCGUGGGUGAAGGAGGCCUUCGGGUUGUAAAGCCCUUUUGUUGGGAAAGAAAAGCAGCAGGUUAAUACCCCGCUGUUCUGACGGUACCCAAAGAAUAAGCACCGGCUAACUUCGUG
rnacentral:rRNA from 1 species